AGUGAACGCUGGCGGCGUGCCUUACACAUGCAAGUCGAACGCGAAAGGGGGCAACCCCGAGUAGAGUGGCGAACGGGUGAGCAAUACAUCGGAACACGUCCUGUAGCGGGGGACAACCUCGAGAAAUCGAGGCUAAUACCGCAUACGAUCUACGGAUGAAAGUGGGGGACCGCAAGGCCCCACACUAUAGGAGUGGCCGAUGCCGGAUUAGCUAGUUGGCGGGGUAAUAGCCCACCAAGGCUACGAUCCGUAGCUGGUUUGAGAGAACGACCAGCCACACUGGGACUGAGACACGGCCCAGACUCCUACGGGAGGCAGCAGUGGGGAAUUUUGGACAAUGGGCGAAAGCCUGAUCCAGCCAUGCCGCGUGAGUGAAGAAGGCCUUCGGGUUGUAAAGCUCUUUCGGCGGGGACGAAAUGGCGCGGGGUAACAUCCCGCGUCGAUGACGGUACCCGAAGAAGAAGGACCGGCUAACUACGUGCCAGCCGCCGCGGUAAAAC
rnacentral:rRNA from 1 species